GACACUUCUUGGCCUUUUGGCUAAGAUCAAGUGUAGUAUUAUAAUAAAAUAUAUUUUAUUACCUUUA
ensembl:snRNA U2 U2 spliceosomal RNA